GAACAGUCUGUGUGACUAGCAUAGCUUUAAUAUUUUAAUAUCCCAAAGGAAAUGAUCUAAAGGAAAUUCUGUGCCACAGCUGUUUCCCAGUCUGUUCCACCAGUGAGUAGGCUUCGGGUGAGAAAAGACUGAGAGUGCACACAGAUGGGGCUGCUGAUCUUAACUGACCGUAGCUGUCCAAUGGAAAUGUCCAAGCAGCUGUU